rnacentral:rRNA from 1 species
AUGCAAGUCGAACGGGAAGUCUGGUGCUUGCACUGGAUGGAGAGUGGCAGGACGGGUGAGUAAUACAUAGGUGAUCUACCUUGAGGAGAGGGAUAACUGUGGGAAACCAUAGCUAAUACCUCAGAUGUUUGAGAAGUUAGAGAUUUCAAACUAAAGCUCCGGUGCCUCAAGAUGAGCCUGUGGGCUAUCAGCUAGUUGGUGAGGUAAUGGCUCACCAAGGCUAAGACGGCUAGGGGACGUGAGAGCGUGAUCCCCCACAAUGGAACUGAGACACGGUUCAUACUUCUACGGGAGGCAGCAGUGAGGAAUAUUGCGCAAUAGGGGGAACCCUGACGCAGCAACGCCGCGUGAGUGAUGAAGGCUUUCGGGUCGUAAAGCUCUUUUUUAGGGAAAGAUAGUGACGGUACCCUAAGAAUAAGUCCCGGCUAACUACGUGCCAGCAGCCGCGGUAAAACGUAGGGGGCGAGCGUUAUCCGGAUUUAUUGGGCGUAAAGAGCACGUAGGUGGCGUUAUAAGUUGGGUGUGAAAGCUCCUGGCUCAACUGGGAGAGGUCACUCAAUACUGUAGUGCUUGAGGUUGGAAUAGGAGAGCAGAAUUCUCGGUGUAGUGGUGGAAUGCGUAGAUAUCGGGAGGAAUACCAGUGGCGAAAGCGGCUCUCUAGUUCACGCCUGACACUGAGGUGCGAAAGCGUGGGUAGCGAACGGGAUUAGAUACCCCGGUAGUCCACGCCGUAAACGAUGGAUACUAGGUGUAGGGGGCAUCUUACCCCUUCU